AUGCUGGAGCUGCUGCUGGUGCUGGUUCUGCCUCUGCGCCGCCGCAGCCGCCUGCUGGGGCGGAGGCUGCUGCGCGUGCACGGAGAGACUGGGGUUCUCCGUGAGCGUGCUGGUGCUCCCGUUCUCGAAGUGAUGGAUCUGCGGCGGUUGUGGCGGCGGCGGUUUGGAGACGGAGAUCUCGACGGACGGCGGCGACUCCUUCAUGUCCCCGGCCGGCGCGUCGGCGAGCCAGAGCACGGACGGAUCCGUCUCCGCCUCCUGCGGCGGCGGCGCGAUGGGCGGCCAGGAUCCAGAGCCCCCUCCUCCGCCGUUGAGGUUGAAGAGCGAGCGGAUCCUCCCCAAGCUAUCGUUGGUCUGGAAGAUGACCUCGGUGGCGCCGAGCUCGAGCACGCCGGUGCCGAGGGGGAUGCAGACCAUGGUGCGGAGGCCGAAGGUGUAGGCCUGCCUGGCCCGCUCGCAGGGCGCGCUGGCGAGCCCCGUGGCGAUCCAGGUGGCCUGGCCGGCGAAGAGCGCCUGGCCCGGCAAGCCCAUCCCGUUGGGGAAGGACUGGGUCAUGGAGACGAGGAAGAACCACUCGGUGUCCGUGACCUCCUCCUCGACGGCCUCGUCGGGCGCGGCGGCGCCUCCCCCGGCUAUGAGCGAGUUGAGCUCCCGGAGGACGCGCUUGCGGUGCUCCUGCUCGGCGGCGGAGGCCGGGGUGGGCUGCUGGCGGCGCUUGUCGGCGUCGUCGCAGCCCUUGUAGUAGCCGUCGCCCCAGCCGAGGAGCGAGGCGCCGGCGUCGGUGGAGGACUGCCAGAAGAUGGCGUAGGUCCAGGUCUCCCUGGAGCCCUCGAUGAUGGCCUGCAGGCGCUGCUGCAGCGUGUCCUGGUUGAAGGCCGGCUGCUGCGGCACGGCGGCCGGCGGCGGCGGGGUGGCCGCAGCGCCCCAGGGGAAGGCCGGCAUGUCGGCGGAGGCCAUGAAGGCCUCCAUCAUGGAGGCGUUGUCGUCCGUCCACAGGUUCAUCGGGCCGGGGCCGGGGUCCGGGGAGGGGAAGGAAGGGGAAUGGAUGGGAGGGAAAGCAAGCGCGGGGGGAGGGUGGGUGGAGAGAGAGGAGGAGAUGGGAAAGGUGGGAAUGGAUUGGUGGGGAGGAAAGAUGGGAGGCGAGGCCCAAAGUAG
rnacentral:rRNA from 1 species